GUUAUGGUUCAUUGGAUGGUACCACGUUACUUGGAUAACUGUGGUAAUUCUAGAGCUAAUACAUGCAAAUAGAGUCCUUGGCAUUAAUUUGUCUUGGAUGCUUUUAUUAGAUCAAAACCAAUCGGGCCUCCGGGUCUGUUGCUUUUGGUGACUCUGAAUAACUUUGGGCUGAUCGCAUGGUCUUGUACCGGCGACGCAUCUUUCAAAUGUCUGACUUAUCAACUUUCGAUGGUAGGUUCUGCGCCUACCACGGUAAUAACGGGUAACGGGGAAUCAGGGUUCGAUUCCGGAGAGGGAGCCUGAGAAACGGCUACCACAUCCAAGGAAGGCAGCAGGCGCGCAAAUUACCCACUCCCAGUUCGGGGAGGUAGUGACGAAAAAUAACGAUGCAGAACUCAUUCCGAGGCUCUGCAAUCGGAAUGAGAACACUCUAAAUCAUUUAACGAGUAUCCAUUGGAGGACAAGUCUGGUGCCAGCACCCGCGGUAAUUCCAGCUCCAAUAGCGUAUAUUAAAGUUGUUGCGGUUAAAAAGCUCGUAGUUGGAUCUGUGUUUCACGCUGACGGUUCACCGUUUGAUCGGUGUCUAACUGUCAUGUACGUGACCCGUCCGGCCGGUUGGCAUGUCCGUGCAGCGGAUUUCGGUUCUUCUGUGCGGCUGCCAGUUCCAAUCUUGUCGCGGUGCUCUUCAUCGAGUGCUGAUGCGGGCGGGCACGUUUACUUCGAACAAAUAAGAGUGCUUAAAGCAGGCUUUAAUUGCCGCGACACUGCGUGCAUGGAAUAAUAAUAUAGGACUUCGGUCGUAUUUUGUUGGUUUUCACGGUCCGAGGUAAUGAUUAAUAGGUACCGACGGGGGCAUUAGUAUUGCGACGUUAGAGGUGAAAUUCUUGGAUCGUCGCAAGACUAACCUAAGCGAAAGCAUUUGCCAAGAAUGCUUCCAUUAAUCAAGAACGAAAGUUAGAGGUUCGAAGGCGAUCAGAUACCGCCCUAGUUCUAACCAUAAACGAUGCCAGCCAGCGAUCUGUCGGUGUCCCUCCGAUGACUCGACAGGCAGCUUCCGGGAAACUAAAGCAUUUGGGUUCCGGGGGAAGUAUGGUUGCAAAGCUGAAACUUAAAGGAAUUGACGGAAAGGCACCACCAGGAGUGGAGCCUGCGGCUUAAUUUGACUCAACACGGGAAAUCUCACCAGGCCAGAACACUAGAUGGAUUGACAGAUUGAGAGCUCUUUCUUGAUUUAGUGGGUGGUGGUGCAUGGCCGUUCUUAG
rnacentral:rRNA from 1 species